GUUGAAACACCAGCUCCCAUCUAAUCACCGAAGUUAAGCAACGUUGAGCCUGAUCACUAUCUAGAUGGAUGACUGCCUAGGAAUAACAGGUGCUGUAAG